rnacentral:rRNA from 1 species
AACGCGAAGAACCUUACCUACUCUUGACAUCCAGAGAACUUUCCAGAGAUGGAUUGGUGCCUUCGGGAACUCUGAGACAGGUGCUGCAUGGCUGUCGUCAGCUCGUGUUGUGAAAUGUUGGGUUAAGUCCCGCAACGAGCGCAACCCUUAUCCUUUGUUGCCAGCGCGUGAUGGCGGGAACUCAAAGGAGACUGCCGGUGAUAAACCGGAGGAAGGUGGGGAUGACGUCAAGUCAUCAUGGCCCUUACGAGUAGGGCUACACACGUGCUACAAUGGCGUAUACAAAGGGAAGCGACCCCGCGAGGGCAAGCGGAACUCAUAAAGUACGUCGUAGUCCGGAUUGGAGUCUGCAACUCGACUCCAUGAAGUCGGAAUCGCUAGUAAUCGUAGAUCAGAAUGCUACGGUGAAUACGUUCCCGGGCCUUGUACACACCG